UGUAUCAACAGAAGAUGGUGACAGUGU
rnacentral:piRNA from 1 species